rnacentral:rRNA from 1 species
CUAUGUUUCCCCUCCUGGCUCAGGACGAACGCUGCCGGCGUGCCUAAUACAUGCAAGUCGAGCGGACAGAUGGGAGCUUGCUCCCUGAUGUUAGCGGCGGACGGGUGAGUAACACGUGGGUAACCUGCCUGUAAGACUGGGAUACCUCCGGGAAACCGGGGCUAAUACCGGAUGGUUGUUUGAACCGCAUGGUUCAAACAUAAAAGGUGGCUUCGGCUACCACUUACAGAUGGACCCGCGGCGCAUUAGCUAGUUGGUGAGGUAACGGCUCACCAAGGCAACGAUGCGUAGCCGACCUGAGAGGGUGAUCGGCCACACUGGGACUGAGACACGGCCCAGACUCCUACGGGAGGCAGCAGUAGGGAAUCUUCCGCAAUGGACGAAAGUCUGACGGAGCAACCCCGCGUGAGUGAUGAAGGU